rnacentral:rRNA from 1 species
CCUACGGGAGGCUGCAGUGAGGAAUAUUGGUCAAUGGGCGCGAGUCUGAACCAGCCAAGUAGCGUGAAGGAUGACUGCCCUACGGGUUGUAAACUCCUUUUAUAAAGGAAUAAAGUGAGGCACGUGUGCCGUUUUGUAUGUCUUUUAUGAAUAAGGAUCGGCUAACUCCGUGCCAGCAGCCGCGGUAAUACGGAGGAUCCGAGCGUUAUCCGGAUUUAUUGGGUUUAAGGGGAGCGUAGAUGGGUUGUUAAGUAAGUUGUGAACGUUUGCGGCUCAACAUUAAAAUUGCAAUUGAUACUGGCAGCCUUGAGUACAGUUGAGGUAGGCGGAAUUCGUGGUGUAGCGGUGAAAUGCGUAGAUAUCACGAAGAACUCCGAUUGCGAAGGCAGCCUACUAAACUGCCACUGACAUUGAUGCUCGAAAGUGUGGGUAGCAAACAGGAUUAGAUACCCCUGUAGUC